CCUACGGGAGGCUGCAGUGGGGAAUCUUGCACAAUGGGCGCAAGCCUGAUGCAGCCAUGCCGCGUGUGUGAAGAAGGCCUUCGGGUUGUAAAGCACUUUCAGCGGGGAGGAAGGCGGUGAGGUUAAUAACCUCAUCGAUUGACGUUACCCGCAGAAGAAGCACCGGCUAACUCCGUGCCAGCAGCCGCGGUAAUACGGAGGGUGCAAGCGUUAAUCGGAAUUACUGGGCGUAAAGCGCACGCAGGCGGUCUGUCAAGUCGGAUGUGAAAUCCCCGGGCUCAACCUGGGAACGGCAUUCGAAACUGGCAGGCUAGAGUCUUGUAGAGGGGGGUAGAAUUCCAGGUGUAGCGGUGAAACGCGUAGAGAUCUGGAGGAAUACCUGUGGCGAAGGCGGCCCCCUGGACAAAGACUGACGCUCAGGUGCGAAAGCGUGGGGAGCAAACAGGAUUAGAUACCCCAGUAGUC
rnacentral:rRNA from 1 species